rnacentral:rRNA from 1 species
CCAAUAGCGUAUAUUAAAGUUGUUGCAGUUAAAAAGCUCGUAGUUGAAUUUCGGAAUCAAUGGGUUGGUCAUGCCCUCGGUAUGUACUGAUUUCAUUGGUUCUCACCUUCUAAGGAACCAUGAUGUCAUUUAUUUGAUGUUGUGGGAAAUUAGGACUGUUACCUUGAAAAAAUUAGAGUGUUUAAAGCAGGCUAACGCUUGAAUACAUUAGCCUGGAAUAAUGAAAUAGGACAUCCGAUUCUAUUUUGUUGGUUUCUAGGAUCGAUGUAAUGAUUAAUAGGGAUAGUUGGGGGCAUUAGUAUUCAAUUGUCAGAGGUGAAAUUCUUGGAUUUAUUGAAGACUAACUACUGCGAAAGCAUUUGCCAAGGAUGUUUUCAUUAAUCAAGAACGAAAGUUAGGGGAUCGAAGACGAUCAGAUACCGUCGUAGUCUUAACCAUAAACUAUGCCGACUAGGGAUCGGAUGAUGCUUAUUUUUUAAUGACUCAUUCGGCACCUUAC